ACAUGGUCCUAGAAAAUAACGCCAUAACAUUACGGCAAAUACAAAGAAAAAUAAUAGAAAACAAUGAGAUAUUUCAAAAUAUUGAUAGGGUAAGCUUAUCAACACUGGACCGUGUCUUGCGCAGAAAUAAUCUCAGGAUGAAGCGGGUCUACAGGGUGCCAUUUGAACGCAAUUCAGAAAGAGUCAAAGAAUUGCGAUAUAACUAUGUGCAAAGAGUCCUUGAGCUAGAGGUGGCUGCAGUGGAGCACCAGUUCAUCUUCAUUGAUGAGGUUGGAUUCAAUCUCACAAAAAAACAAAAGAGGGGAAGGAAUAUCAUCGGCCAGCGUGCCAUUUUUCAAGUCCCUGGCCAGCGCGGAGGGAACAUCACAAUGUGUGCAGCGAUUACCCACCACGGCGUCAUCCAUCACCAUGCUACCCUUGGCCCCUACAACACCGCCCAUCUGAUCACAUUCCUGGACACCCUACACAACACACUCAUUCCACCAGAUCAGGUAGAUGGCCCAGAGCAGCUCAGGUACGUUGUCAUUUGGGACAAGGUAAGUUUCCACAGGGCUGCUCUGGUUUGUAACUGGUUCACUGCCCACCCACGCUUUGUAGUUGUUUAUCUCCCUCCAUAUUCUCCAUUCCUACAUCCUAUUGAGGAAUUGUUUUCUGCCUGGAGAUGGAAAGUGUAUGACCGAAAUCCACAAACGCGUAUACCUCUUCUCCAAGCUAUGGAAGACGCAUGUGAAGAUGUAGCAGCUGAUGCUUUUCAUGGCUGGAAUUGCCAUGCUAGGCGAUAUUUCCCCCGCUGCUUGGCCAGGGAAAACAUUGCUUGUGAUGUGGAUGAGGUGCUGUGGCCAGACCGCAACAGAAGAGAGGAUGCAGCAUAGUUUUUUACAUUUAUUUUUUUAUUUUUUUACUGUAACUGUAUACAUUAAAUUCUUCUGUUUUGUAUGUAGACCACUGUAUGUGCAACUUUGUGUUGGUUGGGAAUGGGAUGUACACUGUGUA